CCUACGGGUGGCUGCAGUGGGGAAUAUUGGACAAUGGGCGAAAGCCUGAUCCAGCCAUGCCGCGUGUGUGAAGAAGGCCUUCGGGUUGUAAAGCACUUUCAGUGGGGAAGAAAGCCUUGGGGCUAAUACCCUCGAGGAAGGACAUCACCCACAGAAGAAGCACCGGCUAACUCCGUGCCAGCAGCCGCGGUAAUACGGGAGGGUGCGAGCGUUAAUCGGAAUUACUGGGCGUAAAGCGCGCGUAGGCGGUCUGAUAAGCCGGUUGUGAAAGCCCCGGGCUCAACCUGGGAACGGCAUCCGGAACUGUCAGGCUAGAGUGCAGGAGAGGAAGGUAGAAUUCCCGGUGUAGCGGUGAAAUGCGUAGAGAUCGGGAGGAAUACCAGUGGCGAAGGCGGCCUUCUGGACUGACACUGACGCUGAGGUGCGAAAGCGUGGGUAGCAAACAGGAUUAGAUACCCUAGUAGUC
rnacentral:rRNA from 1 species